rnacentral:rRNA from 1 species
UACGUAGGUGGCAAGCGUUGUUCGGAAUUACUGGGCGUAAAGCGUGCGCAGGCGGUUGUGCAAGACAGAUGUGAAAUCCCCGGGCUCAACCUGGGAAUUGCAUUUGUGACUGCACGGCUAGAGUGUGUCAGAGGGGGGUAGAAUUCCACGUGUAGCAGUGAAAUGCGUAGAGAUGUGGAGGAAUACCGAUGGCGAAGGCAGCCCCCUGGGAUAACACUGACGCUCAUGCACGAAAGCGUGGGGAGCAAACAGG